rnacentral:rRNA from 1 species
GAUGAACGCUGGCGGCGUGCCUAAUACAUGCAAGUCGAGCGAACGGACGAGAAGCUUGCUUUUCUGAUGUUAGCGGCGGACGGGUGAGUAACACGUGGAUAACCUACCUAUAAGACUGGGAUAACUUCGGGAAACCGGAGCUAAUACCGGAUAAUAUUUUGAACCGCAUGGUUCAAAAGUGAAAGACGGUCUUGCUGUCACAUAUAGAUGGAUCCGCGCUGCAUUAGCUAGUUGGUAAGGUAACGGCUUACCAAGGCAACGAUGCAUAGCCGACCUGAGAGGGUGAUAGGCCACACUGGAACUGAGACACGGUCCAGACUACUAAGGGAGGCAGCAGUAGGGAAUCUUCCGCAAAGGGCGAAAGCCUGACGGAGCAACGCCGAGUGAGUGAUGAAGGUCUUCGGAUCGUAAAACUCUGUUAUUAGGGAAGAACAUAUGUGUAAGUAACUGUGCACAUCUUGACGGUACCUAAUCAGAAAGCCACGGCUAACUACGUG